ACCUGGGACCAUCCGAGAGGCACACGAGGUGGAGAGUGGACGGGUGCCCGGCGCCACCGCCUCUCCCCGAGGGCGCGUACUGAGCAGGAUGUCAGACAAGCUCAAGGAACGCAGAAGAACUCCGGUUUCCCAUAAAGUGAUAGAAAAGAGAAGGAGGGAUCGAAUCAACCGCUGCUUGAAUGAGCUGGGCAAAACGGUGCCCAUGGCCUUGGCAAAGCAGAGUUCCGGGAAGCUGGAGAAGGCGGAGAUCCUGGAGAUGACGGUUCAGUACCUGAGAGCCCUGCACUCCGCCGAUUUUCCCCGGGGAAGGGAAAAAG